rnacentral:rRNA from 1 species
CCUACGGGAGGCAGCAGUGGGGAAUUUUGGACAAUGGGCGCAAGCCUGAUCCAGCAAUGCCGCGUGAGUGAAGAAGGCCUUCGGGUUGUAAAGCUCUUUUGUCAGGGAAGAAACGGCAGUUUCUAAUACAGAUUGCUAAUGACGGUACCUGAAGAAUAAGCACCGGCUAACUACGUGCCAGCAGCCGCGGUAAUACGUAGGGUGCAAGCGUUAAUCGGAAUUACUGGGCGUAAAGCGUGCGCAGGCGGUUUUGUAAGUUUGUCGUGAAAUCCCCGGGCUCAACCUGGGAAUGGCGAUGAAGACUGCAAGGCUAGAAUCUGGCAGAGGGGGGUAGAAUUCCACGUGUAGCAGUGAAAUGCGUAGAGAUGUGGAGGAACACCGAUGGCGAAGGCAGCCCCCUGGGUCAAGAUUGACGCUCAUGCACGAAAGCGUGGGGAGCAAACAGGAUUAGAUACCCUGGUAGUCCACGCCCUAAACGAUGUCUACUAGUUGUCGGGUUUUAAUUAACUUGGUAACGCAGCUAACGCGUGAAGUNACCGCCUGGGGAAGUCGGUCGCAAGAUUAAAACGUCAAAGGAAUUGACGGCNGAGAGNGCGACGGACGACGACGAGGGAGGAGG